UACGUAGGGGGCAAGCGUUGUCCGGAAUCAUUGGGCGUAAAGCGCGUGUAGGCGGUUCGGUAAGUCGGCUGUGAAAGUCCAGGGCUCAACCCUGGGAUGCCGGUCGAUACUGCCGGACUAGAGUUCGGAAGAGGCGAGUGGAAUUCCCGGUGUAGCGGUGAAAUGCGCAGAUAUCGGGAGGAACACCAAUGGCGAAGGCAGCUCGCUGGGACGUAACUGACGCUGAGACGCGAAAGCUAGGGGAGCAAACAGG
rnacentral:rRNA from 1 species